AAAGGGUAGAUUUCUUCUGGGUAUUUUGAGUUGGCUUCUUUCACGUUGUUUGAUUGUUGGGUUUUGGACAAUUUGACGUUAUGUGUGAUUUCUUUCACUGACACUCUGUGCUUGGGGAGUGGAUUGGGCAAUAGCAGCUUCAGAUUGUGAGUGUUUGAUUCAGCGAUGGCGAACAAGGGUGCGAAGAAGCGGAAGGAAGAGAACGAGAAGCAUAUUGCGUUUCUCCGGAACUUGAUUCUGAUAUCGAACACGCUUUAUGUCGUUUUGAGAUUUGGUUUAAGGUUUGGGAGCCUUCGGUGGUUUCAUGGAGGGAUGUUUUGCUUCACAUCGGCUAUCUACAAGCUCGUGUACGAUCAGCUGGCAGGUAUGGCCAAGCCGGAGAUCGACGCAGCCACCGGCGAGAUUUUGGACGGGGGUUUCGAUAUGAGCACCGGGGGGCUCUGCAGCUACAUGCACGACUUGUUGUACAUCACCAGCUUCUUGCAAGUGGCGUCAAUACUAUCUGACAAAUUUUGGUGGCUCUAUCUUGUUAUCCCUGCUUUCGGCAUCUACAAGGUCUGGCCCUUCAUCUACAACAAUUUCUUGAAGCCCGCACCGCCGGAAGGUCCUAUGGACGAUAAGGAGAGGAAGAGACUGGAGAAAGCAGAGAGGAAGGCUAAUCGUCCGAAAUUUGGAAAAACGAGGAGAUGAUAACAGACUCCCCUGCUCUAGGUAUAGGGUUAAUCUCAAGUUGAGCCUACGCAUUGUAUCUAGUGUGAUUACACUCGACUGUCUUUCAAGGCCACACGAUAUCUUUUUGUUUCUUGCCUGUCACUUGUGAUUAAGAGAUAACACAUCUUCUGUGUAGUUGUUCCUAGUCGCUUCCAGUCUUUGGUGUCUGUAGUGUUUUACAUUUCCUGAUGAGCUCUGGCGUUUCAUCCCAUGUGCUGCCCGAGGGAGAUGGCUACGUUGCUUUCAUGAGGAAGUAUCAUUGUGGCAACAUGCUGUGGGAAAUCGUAGCCAGAAAUCCUAGAAUUCUUCCUGGAUUUUGGCACGCUGCCUUGUACUGAGGAGGAACCAUAUUGGUUGAAUUUGCAACCAAUAAUGAUGCGUGGGUAGGUUUAGAAGAAGGAGCAAUUUAACAAUUGUCCAACUAUAUAUACACUAAAUUAAAUACACGUCAAGAAGAACGCAUGAGUUAUUUUGUAAUUGCAUUUUAAGUUUACUUUAGUUGCAUUUUCGUAA